ensembl:lncRNA
GUUCAGCCAGCACCUGAGAUUCCUGAAUGACUUCCCCACACCAGUGAGGAAUUCCAGCAUAAUUUCAGGUGAAUCAGAUUUAAGGGAUGGAGUUGGCCAAGUGAUUGACAGUCUGGGGUAUAUAUUCAGGACGACGACGACGACGACGACGAUGACGAUGAUGAUUGUCUUAGGGUUUUACUGCUGUGAACAGACACCGUGACCAAGGCAAGUCUUAUAAAGGACAACAAUUAACUGGAGCUGGCUUACAGGUUCAGAGGUUCAGUCCAGUAUCAUCAAGGUGGGAGCAUGGCAGCAUCCAGGCAGGCAUGGUGCAGGAGGAGCUGAGAGUUCUACAUCUUCAUCUAAAGGCUGCUAGUAGAAAACUGACUUCCAGGCAGCUAGGGUAAAGGUCUUACAACCACAGUGGCAUAUCUAAUCCAACAAGGCCACUCCCUGAGUCAACCAUAUAUAAACCAUCACAUUUCACUCCCUGGCCCUCAUAGGCUUGUUCAAACACAUGAGUCUAUGAGAGUCAUAUCUAGCCAUAACAUAAUAAAAAAUGCAUUUAGUCCAGCUUCCAAAGCCCCACAGUCUAUAGCAGUCUUGACAAUGUUAAAGUCCAAAGUUCAAGGUCGUUUCUGAGAUUCAUCCAAUCACUUAACUGUAAUCCCAAAGCAAGACUGGAUUUGAACUCAGAGAUCUGCUUGCCUCAGUCUCCUGGGAUUAAAGGCAUGCACUACCUUGAUCGAGUCUAAGCUUUUCAUAGCCACUAUGCCUCAGGAUUUCCAUACCAAGAUUCAGGUCAGAAACUUGUAUCUCCCAG